rnacentral:rRNA from 1 species
GACGAACGCUGGCGGCGUGCUUAACACAUGCGAGUCGAACGGAAAGGCCCUGCUUUUGUGGGGUGCUCGAGUGGCGAACGGGUGAGUAACACGUGAGUAACCUGCCCUUGACUUUGGGAUAACUUCAGGAAACUGGGGCUAAUACCGGAUAGGAGCUCCUGCUGCAUGUUGGGCGUUGGAAAGUUUCGGCGGUUCGGGAUGGACUCGCGGGUUAUCAGCUUGUUGGGUGGGUAGUUGCUGUCCAAGGCUUUGACGGAUAGCCGGCCUGGGAGGUUGACCGGCGACAUUGCGACUGAGAUACGGCCCAGAAUCCAACGGGAGGCAACAGUGGGGAAUAUUACACAAUGGGCGGAAGCCUGAUGCAGCAACGCCGCGUGCGGGAUGACGGGCUUCGGGUUGUAAACCGCUUUCGCCUGUGACGAAGCGUGAGUGACGGUAAUGGGUAAAGAAGCACCGGCUAACUACGUG